rnacentral:lncRNA from 1 species
GGGGUUUAGAAAGCGCUGUCUUAGGCAUACCUUAGAAAGCGCUUUCCACAAAAGCGCUGUCUAAGGUCUUAUUAAAAUAAAAUUUCAGGAUUCUAUUUUCGUUCUCAGUCUUUUUGUUUUCCCUCUUCUUCACUCACCUCUCAGACACCCAAAACACGACAUCCCCAUUUUCCUUCAACUUUCGAAAACCCUAUUUUCCGCCUUCGAGGGUC